ensembl:rRNA 5S_rRNA 5S ribosomal RNA
GCUUACGGCCACACCGGCCUGAGUACGCCUGAUCUCGUCCGAUCUCGGAAGCUAAGCAGGGUCGGGCCUGGUUAGUACUGGAUGGGAGACCGCCUGGGAAUACCAGGUGCUGUAAGCU